ACAAAUUCUUAACUGACAAAUCAAAAUCAAGAGACCCCUCACAGGUAACCAUACAGUACAAUAUACCGCUUAUAAUAGUCUCAAAACUCUGCCAUUAAAAGAAAAUACAGAAAUUAUCAAAUUGAAUUCUCACACUAGCCAUUUGCCAAUGUCAAAGUUAAAAUACUCCAAAAACCUCAGAUCUAUGGCACAAUUUGCAUUUGCCUUUUUUAAAAACAAAUAUAUAACAUGCAUUAGUAUUUCAAAUCCCGUUGGAUCCUUUUUACUAUCACAGAUGGGUUUACAAAAAACACCGCCACUGCCAUUCAAAUGGCGGUAUAAGUGAACAUGGAACUGUUACAUCAGUAAUGUACAAUUACAGAACACAAUCAUCUUUAAACUUGUCUGUAAUGAAGUUUAUAGGAUGUCUGUAACCAACAACACCCUUGCAAGCCCAAAAUGUAACACAUUUGAUUUCCAUUUCAUAGAAGCCAAACUGAGGUGAUUGUGUGUAUUGAACCAGGGACUUAGAAACAACAGAGAGGCUUCGCACCACCAUAGCCCUCAGUGGUUCACAAUCCUUCAACAGGCCACACAGUCCACCCACCCCACCGUUGCCCCACACCGAACCCAGGGUUAUUGUGCAGUUCGGCCCUCAGUGGAACCCCCCCUUGGGAACGUCUCAUACAAGAGAGUGUAACCCCAAAUGUUUGUGGAAUAGAGUCAUUAUGGUGUAAGCAUACGUGGAGAUAGUGUUUGCACAGCAAUCACCAACAUAGUGUAACCAAGGCAGAAUAAGGGGAAUCAGCCCGCAUUCACCGAGGCAGGUGGAAAACUGCCUUAAAAACCAUCCACACGCUGGCUGGCACACCAAACCUACACACUAAUCCACCUGGCGGAUUCGUGCUGGGGACCGGCACGCCUUCCCACUUGGGUAGCAGCGCAUUAGACCGCACGGCUAGCUAGUUGAUACUAACCCAAGGUAAUAUGCCAGUGGCAGAUCUGGCAGGUGGGUGCAACUCAUCAACAGGUCGACGCAAAUGGCACGCUCUAUCCAUCAGCCUCUGGUGCAAAGACAGACAAUGUUUUCUUGCUGAUCGCUCAACAGGGGAGACCACACACGGAAAGCUGUUAGAUCACUGAAAAUGCAGCGAUAAACAUAAGAAGUCUUAGAAGUUUUAUGGACUUCACCAACUUGUACCGAUAACAAGUGAGAAGCUGAAGAUCAACUUAGUAUUGACAACUUGUAAACAUCAUGCCACUUCUCGCUGCUGCAAAACUUUGGAAGAAGUAGAGCUGUGAGGACGGGGCACGAGUUGUGCUUGGGUAGCUCAGUCGGUAGAGCACUUGCCCACGAAAGGCAAAGGUCCCGAGUUCGCGUCUCGGUCCAGCAUACAGUUUUAAUCUGCCAGGAAGUUUCACUGAUAGUUCUUUUACACUGACAAAACUUGGGUGGACAACAACAUUACUUCUAGGAAAUGUUGGCAGGGUUGUGACAUGGAAGUAUCACAGACUAUGUUAAUGGCAGCAGCAGCAGCAGCAGCAGCAGCAGCAGCAGCAGUGAAUGCUGGACCCAAUACUGGGUUUAUUUAUUAGUCUACGUCAAUGUUAUCUUCUUCAAAGUAUAUUACAUAUUAUAUUACAAAGUACAUAUUACAAAGUAUAUUACAUAUUAUAACUUAUGCCAGUGCUUUUUUCAAUUUCAAAAACACUUCUGGAACUUUUUUUGGAAUAGCUUUUCGCUCUCUCAGUGAUUCAUUUUUAAUCUAAUUUAUGAUUGUGAAAGACUGCACUUUAAGGUUUUCUUUAUUUUUGGGUGCAUAAAGUCACACGGGGCACACGUGGGGGCUAGGGCAUCAGUACAGUAUUUUUUUGGCCAUAAAUUCACCAACAUGCAACGAAGUGUGUGCAGGUGCAUUAUCAAGGUUCAGAAUCCAUGAAUCUUUCCACCACAAAUCGGCUUUUGUAUUUCAGUAGUGUUAACUAAUUUAUCUAACAAUAAUUGCUGCUGCACCUUGGAAGGACCAGUACAACAUUCUGAAGCAGCCUGUAGAAGCACCGGGGCUCUUGUGAAUGCACCUAUGACAUCAGACUAUUCGCCUUGUCUGCCAAACUUUAAACUCCUGUGAAAUCAUUACUUGCUCCCUACCAGAGACAGCUCCUGGCACUCACAAGACCUGCAGUGCUAUGUGCUGUGAUGAACACACCACAGCCUGUCUUUCUUGUAGGCCUUGUAGAAGCUCCUUGUCUCUUAACUGGGUGGGCGGCAUCGGGACUCCCUGACUCACUCACGAGUUUACCAACAGACUGUAGCUUAUAGCUGAUGUGUGCAAUUUUCUUCCCUCUCAUGGACUUAUUUUUUGCUGCUCUAAUGGAAUUGCUGUUGGGAGAGUCUGCAGUUUCUCCCUCAACAGAUUUACUUUUAGUAGCAGUUAUUCAUUUGCAGCACAAGUAACAGCUUAUACACUGCUGAAAACCCGAGUGGUUUCCCUCGUUGCAAGGGACAACGUUGGUCUGCGAGGUGAGGCGAAAUUUUAACUGCACUGACAACCAGACGUUUCCAAAAACAGGAAUGCAGGAGCUAACCACCCACCCCUUGCAGAUACGCAGCAUCCACUUUCGCUCUCAUGACGCGUGUAGGAGAAACAGAAAAUUUCCCACACAACAUGCAGCAAAAAAAAGAGAGAUCACAAUAUCAAGUCACACCAAGAGGAGGAACAAAACAGCCAACACAUCUCUUCCACAUCCCGUGAUGGUUGUUUCGUCUUGACAUGUUGGUGUGAUUUCAUGGACAUGGCAGGAUUCUUUCUUGAGGCUCAUUGUAUGCUCUGUAGCGAGAUACUGACUGGAUGCCAUAACAGGUAAACAAGAGGCCACUUGGAUCAUUGAGACCUCUAAAGGCCAGCAAGCUAACUUAACAUCAUGUCUUAAGUUGUAUAUGUUGCCUGUUAUUAUUUCUUUUGCAUAUCUUACAUUUUUAGGAUCUGUUUUAAAUUGCAUUUAGUCGUGGUUUUUACUGUAAUAACUCAUUCUAGUUCUAGAAGGCACUGUGAUGAGCAUGUAAUACGUAUUUUCUGUAACAUGACUUUUACUUGCCAUUAAUUCCUGCUAAAAAUUAAAAUAGUUCGGAUUUUAGUUUACGAACUGUAGGUGACAGAUAAUGAGUUCUACUGUAAUUUUACUUUCACAUCUCUAUUUUAUAUUUAUCUAGUUGUCCUAAAUUACGUAAACCGAGUAUGCUUGUCUGCCAUCUACUUUAUCUCACUAUUGUAGUCUAGGAGAUACAAAUGGUGGUAGAACUGAUCUUCACGGUGGGAAAUUUUCACCAGAAGAGAAAAUCAACAGCAGCAAUAACACAGUUUCAAAAGAGAAACUUUGAAAAAAUACGUCGAAUAUUUAACUUUGAAUUCACAGACAUGUAACUUUUAUUUAACAUAUGAAGAGUGACAAGAACCUUUCUGCAAUUUUAUGCCAUUGUUGAGACAGUUUGAUCUGUGUGUACAACUGCUUCAUUUCCACAUUUAUCUUUCACAUAGUAUAACAUCUGGCCUAACUGCAGUCUCUAUAGAUUAUAAAGAAAAGUCAGCAUACCUUUAAUUUCACAUUGCUUGCCUAUGAAA